GUGCUCGCUUAGGCAGCACAUAUACUAAAAUUGGAACGAGAUAGAGAAGAUUAGCAUGGCCCCUGCACAAGGAUGACACACAAUUUAUCAGUAUAUAGGUUUGAGAUUUUU